rnacentral:rRNA from 1 species
AGAGUUUGAUCAUGGCUCAGGAUAAACGCUGGCGGCGUGCCUAACACAUGCAAGUCGAACGUCUUUGAGUAAUUGAAGGCGUGGCGGACGGGUGAGUAACACGUGGGUACCUACCCCAAGGUGAGGAAUACCGGCGAGAAAUCGCCGACAAUACCGCAUAGGUUUGCGAAAGCAAACAAAGCUCGGGUAACCGGGCGCCAUGGGAAGGGCCUGCGGCCGAUUAGCUCGUUGGUGGGGUAAAAGCCUACCAAGGCCACGAUCGGUAGCUGGUCUGAGAGGACGAUCAGCCACACUGGGAUUGAGAACGGCCCAGACUCCUACGGGGGGCAGCAGUGAGGAAUUUUCGUCAAUGGGGGAAACCCUGAACGAGCAACGCCGCGUGCAGGAAGAAGGUUUUCGGAUCGUAAACUGCUUUUCUCUGGGACGAGAACGGACGGUACCAGAGGAAUAAGCCCCGGCUAACUACGUGCCAGCAGCCGCGGUAAUACGUAGGGGGCAAGCGUUGUCCGGAUUUAUUGGGCGUAAAGCGCACGCAGGCGGUCUGCCAAGUUUGGAGUGACAGUUUCCGGCUCAACCGGAAAAGGCCUUCGAAAACUGGUAGACUUGAGGACUUGAGAGGGAGACGGAAUUCCGGGUGGAGCGGUGAAAUGCGUAGAGAUCCGGAGGAACACCAAAUGCGAAGGCAGUCUCCUGGCAAGUUACUGACGCUCAGGUGCGAAAGCUAGGGGAGCGAACGGGAUUAGAUACCCUAGUAGUCC